CUUCCUUCUCCACUAUGGCAACAGCUCAAAGUGAUAUCAGCCCUGGCAUUCAAGGGAGGAAAGUCACCCGUCCUGGCCGAAUUCCAUAGUUCUGUGAAGCAAUACUUUUAAGGGAUUAAGUCAGAGGAUUGGAGAACUGAGCUCUGCAGAGACCUGCCCCCUCCACAAAUUGCUUGUUAUUGGAGGGAAAUUACUGUUUUGGGGCUUAUCAGUUGUUAGAAGUUGGCAGAAAGUUCUCACCUAGCUAGACAAUUGCUCUUCAGGAAGACAGCUAGGUGGAGUAGUGGAUGGAGAACGGGACUUGGAUUCAAAAUAUAUCUGAAUUUGAAAACUGUCUUAGACAUUUACUAGCUGUAAGACAUUGGACAAGUCACUUAACCUUUGUCAAACCCAUCUGUCAAAUGGAGAUAACAAUAGCACCCAUCUCAGGAUGCUGUUAUAAGGAUAUGAGAGCCAUCACCGUCCAGUGGCAAGACAAAAGUCCAGAGGACUGGCCAUCAUGGCCCACGAAGCUGUGGGAGUUUCAACCUGGAAGUCAACCACAGAAUUGAAAGGAUUCAUGGAGAAAGGACCUGGUGCUUUACUAGACUGUCAGAGGGAUCCGGGAUACAGGGAAGGUGAAGAAUCCCCUGCCUGGACUGUCAUGAUGAGAUUCAUCUCUUUAUUUUGACCAAUAAGGCAAGCAUUGAUCCAAGGGGCCUCCAGAAACCAUGCUGCUCAUCUCCCUGCCUCUGUUAGUAUAGAUAUUCUGGGAAGAAAUAAUCCAGGUUCCUAUUUGUUCUCAGGUUUCUGCAAUAGAUGUGUAUAUAGAAGAUAAAGAAUACAUAUAAUAUAUAACAUAUAUCUAUAUAAUACUAAGUACAUCAG